rnacentral:lncRNA from 1 species
CAAUAUAAGCUAUUUAUAGUAACAACAAAGGGAAGUAAUUCUAAAGAAGGGAACUGUGCAAGACACUUCGUCUCAUGAUGUAGCGAUAGGAAAUAGGCGCUUCCGCAUAAUCGGUAUGUGUCGCGCACUAAACUGUUUACGUAUGCACCGGUUAACAAAAUCGAUGUGUUCCGGCACUCGCAGUCAGAAAGGUAAGUUUUAUUUCUCAAAAUAUUCUGUUAAGUACUAUUUGUCAACGUAUAAACACAUGUUCAGUCCAAACUUACGAUAUCAAAGAUUGAAUUUAACCCGGAUUUUUUAGCGAGACCAUUUGAAAUCAUUGAUUUUAAAGGUGGGUAGUUCUGUUCUGUCAUUCUCUAUUCAUAACUUGUGUUUACACGAAUCUUCAAACUGUGCAUAUUUAUGUGGGUUUCAUUGGUGAACCAGUGGCGCAUGGAAGCUAAAUAUACUAUUAAUGGCAGUUGGUAAGUGGGAAUGGUCAAUUAUUUAUGGUUUGUUUUUGGUUUGCAAAAUAAUCAAAAUGUUAGUUUGACAGACGACAACAACAACAACUCGUUAUAGUUUGUUUCAAGACAUAUGGAAAAUAGAAUAAUAGAAUCAUUUUGAUUUUGUUUGAUGAUACAAACUGGAGCAUAUUAUGAUCUGUUUGUUGGAUGAUUUUAACAUAAUGUUUUAACUGAAAAUUGUUUUAUGGUACUAGAAAAGGAAGCUGUGUGUUCACUGUUGGCACAUUGAAUGAUUGGAUAAAUAAUGCUCUAUUGGAUAAAUACGUAAAGUACAUUGGACAGCUGUGAUUGUGGCGUGGACAGCUGAGAUUGUGUUUUGGACAGCUGAGAUUGUGACUUGGACAGCUGAGAUUGUGGUGUGGACAGCUGAGAUUGGUGUGAACAGCUGAGAUUGUGGUGUUGACAUCUGAAAUUGUGAUUUGGACAGCUGAGAUUGUGACUUGGACAGCUGAGAUUGUGCUGUGGACAGCUAAAAUUGUGGUGUGGAAUAAUGAUAUUGUGGUGUUGACAACAUAUUGUGGUGUGCACAUGUGAUAUUGUGGUGUGAUGGUUUAAAGUAGCAAAGGUAAAGAACGUUUGACAGCUUAGAUUGUGGUGUGGACAGCUGAUAUUGUGGUGUGGACAGCUGAGAUUGUCAUGUGGACUACUUAUAUUGUGGCUUGCAGAGCUGAUAUUGUGUUGUGAUGGUUUAAAGUACUAAAGAUUUAUUCCUUACUACCUUCCUGUCAACUAUAUCUUCCACAGCAUGAUUUAAUCUAGUCCCAAUCAUUGACUCUGGUUACCUCACCAGACGGUCCGUCCACAGAGUCACAAGCAACAGAUACUAAAACUCGGCAAAGUACAUG